rnacentral:tRNA from 3 species
CGGGGUGUAGCGCAGUCCGGUAGCGCACCUGCUUUGGGAGCAGGGGGUCCCAAGUUCGAAUCUUGGUACCCCGAC